rnacentral:rRNA from 1 species
GUCCACGCCCUAAACGAUGUCAACUGGUUGUUGGGUCUUCACUGACUCAGUAACGAAGCUAACGCGUGAAGUUGACCGGCCUGGGGAGUACGGCCGCAAGGUUGAAACUCAAAGGAAUUGACGGGCACCCCGCACAAGCGGUGGAUGAUGUGGUUUAAUUCGAUGCAACGCGAAAACCUUCCCACCUUUGACAUGUACGGAAGUUACCAGAGAUGGUUUCGUGCUCGAAAGAGAGCCGUAACACAGGUGCUGCAUGGCUGUCGU